GCCACAUGAGAACUCAAACACACUCACUCACCUAUGGACCUAGAAUAAGAAGGUUCAAUGGUCAUUGUCACUAUUGUGGCAAGUUUGGUCAUACCAAUUAUAAGUGUACUAUUAGAAAAUUGCAUCUUGGAUAUGGUAGCAUAUGGAAAUUGGAUAGUGGAAUGACUAACCCCCAAGGACCCAAGUACAUUUGGGUACCUAAAAGUGUUUGAAUUCUUUUUUUAGGUGUGCUUGAAAUCCUCAAAAAUUGAAAGCAAAUGGUAUCUAGAUAGUGGAUGUUCAAGGCACAUGACCGGAAAUUCAAGUCACUUCAUCUCUCUUGAAAAGAAAGACGGAAGUGGACAAGUAACUUUUGGAGACAAUGG
rnacentral:lncRNA from 1 species